UACGUAGGGAGCAAGCGUUGUCCGGAAUCAUUGGGCGUAAAGCGCGCGUAGGCGCCCGGUAAGUCCGUCGUGAAAGUCAAGGGCUCAACCCUUGAAUGCCGGUUGAUACUGUCGGGCUAGAGUCCGGAAGAGGCGAGUGGAAUUCCCGGUGUAGCGGUGAAAUGCGCAGAUAUCGGGAGGAACACCAAGGCGAGGCAGCUCGCUGGGACGGUAACUGGACGC
rnacentral:rRNA from 1 species